ACCAGCCCCCACAAGGUAUAGAUUAUAGAGGGAUACAUUGGCAGUCGACCACAUGAGUCAGAGUACUUAAAGGACAAUGGUCACCUUUUUUCUUUUUUCUUUCUUUCUUCCUUUUUUUUUUUUUUUUUUUUUUUUGAGAUAGGGUUUUAGUAUGUAAUCCCAACUGGUCUGAAACUCCCCUUGUAGACUAAGCUUGCUUCUGCCUCCCGAAUGCUAGGAAGGUCCUCAGGUCACUCUUUGUGUGGUGCUGAACACUGACCUCAGGGCUUUUCGCACGUUAAUAAUCUCAAAUUCUGUGCUGUACCACAGAACCGCACCCACAGCCCAGGUCACAGUUGUCCACCACCGAGAAAGGGUACUGCUUCUCAGAUCAGCACGCGUCAGUCGUGAGGUAUCUCCUGCUUUCAGAGUUGAAGUGUGAGGGGAAACACUGCCGGAGGGUUGUUGAAGUGGAGUAAAUGAUUCAUUGGGAGAAUUAAUGCAAGGGCUGAGCAGAAGCCCUGGCAGUAGACAUCCUACGUUGAACCUGCAAAACAAGCCCUCAACGUGGGACAAGGUAAGCAAGCAUUCCAAUGUAGAGUCGGUGCUGAAAAUGGAAUACUUACCUCUCGGGGAAGAGCGCCUGGUUACGGAGGGGGUUGAGGCUUGCUUGAGCAUUACUUUGUUCCUAACUCUGGGGAACUCAGUGCUUCUUCAUCUGUGGUGGGAGCGCGUCUGUGUGCGUGCUCCCCUGUAAAGUGCCGGCCGACCAAGGGGAAGGAAAGGUUUCAGGAUGGGAAGCAAGAGGCAGUAUUGAUGUGCACCAACCACCAUGACAGGACAAGAGGGAGGAAAUGAGCUAAGACUCUGGCAGAGUAACAUUGAGUAAUGUAACGGAGCAGGCCAGGAAGUGUGGAAGGCUUUCAGAAGAGAUGUGUGCCUAACAAUUUUAAACUCUUAAACUCACGGAGGAACAUUUGGAAGAUGAGUCUAGUAUAAUAAAUUCUGACGUGAGAGUAGGUGUGAGAAGCGGAGUGGCCAGGGGCAGGAGCAGGGGUUCUCCAGCUGACCAGAGGGGUGACGAGUGUGAAGUCACUGUACUUUCAGCGAGAAGUGAAUGUUUUCUUAGAGAAGUGUUUAAUAUCUAUUUCUGGCUCUUCACUGCCUGAAAGGUUGGUUUGUGCUCCAGUCAACUGUGAUGUAAGGUGAAAGGAGCACACAGCAAAAGGAAAAUUACUACCCUCCCCCUUUUAACAUUUUAUUUGUUUCAUGUGUAUGUGGGUAUUUGUGUAUAUUUUUAGAUUUUCCUAAGAACUUAUAUGCAUGCUUUACCUCCAUGUCUGCACUACAAACACCCCUGGUCCCUGACAUCAGAUUCCCUGAAACUGAAGUGACAGACAGUCGUGAACCAAAAUGUACGUGCUAGGAAUUGAGCCCAGGAAGAUCGCUUUCUGUAACCACUGUGGCGUCCCUCCAGUCCCAUAUGUGGCUAUGUUUGUGUACACACAUGUGCCAUAGCAUGUGUGUAAGGGUCAGUUCUCUCCACUGGGGCUCGGGGAUUGAAUUUUAGGACAUCAGGCUGGUGCAGCAAGUAUUUGUACUCAUUGAACCAGACCAUACUGCCUGCCAUCGACCACACAGAGCCUUGUGUAUCCCAGGCUGUCAUUAAACCUGGUAUAGUCUUGAAUGCCCUGAGACUUUUGAUAUUCUUGUCUCCAUUUAACCAAGUUCUGGGAUUACAGGUAUACACCAACAAACCCAGUAUUUGUUUUUGUUUUUUAAGAUUUUUUUUGUUUUAUGUAUGUGAGUACACUGUCACUUUCUUCAGACACAACAGAAGAGGGCAUCAGAUCCCAUUACAGAUGGUUGUGAGCCACCAUGUGGUUGCUGGGAAUUGAACUCAGGACCUCUGGAAGAGCAGUCUUAGCCGUUGAGCCAUCUCUCCAGCCCCAACAAACACAGUGUUAUUGGGUGCUGAGAACUGAACUAAAGGGCCGGAGCCUGCUGGAUAACAACUCUAUCAAUUGAACUUGAUCUCCAACCCUUAAAGAUACACUUAAUACAAAGGUUUUGAUAGCUUAUUAUAAAAUGAUGGUUUGUGCUUGUCUCCCAUGCAAGAAACCGUGGCUUCACUUUCAAGUGCCAUAUAAACCAGCCGUGGUGAUUCACAUGGUGCAGGCUGGAGGACCAGCCGUGGUGAUUCACAUGGUGCAGGCUGGAGGAUGAGAAGUUCAGAGUUGUCUUAGGCUACCAGGGCUUUCUGCGGUCGGCAAGCAUUUUUAUCAGCUGAGCUAUACCCCAGUCCUGCUUUUUCUUUUUUCCUAAAUGAUGAUUGAUGGUUGAAACAAGGCCCUCCUAGGCAACCCAAGCUCUCCCUGAACUAACUUUUCACAUGCUUAAAAACAAAAAACCAAAAACAAACAACUUUUUUGAGGGGUGAGGGGUAGAUAGUCUUUGAAGCCAUGUUUUAUCCAGAGUUGUUUAUUUUUAGUUAUAUGUCUUCCUGUGCCAUGUAUGCUUAGAUGUCCACAGGCACCAGAGGGAGGUGGCUGUCAGCUUCUCAAUAUGCUCUUAAGUGCUGGGCCAUUUUUACAGCUCUUCAGAUUUCAUUUUUGUUUUUGUUUUCUUCUUGUUUUUUUUUGUUGUUGUUGUUAUUUAUUUAUUUAUUUAUUUUUGAGACAGAUUUUUCUCUAUAUAGCCUCCGCCUCCCAAGUGCUGGGAUUAAAGGUGUGCACCACUACUGCCUGUCUAUAGGUCCUUUUAAAUUUCUAUUACUUUUUUUUAAAGAUUUAUUUACUUUACUUAUAUGAUUACGCUGUAGUUGUCUUCAGACACACCAGAAAAGGUCGUCAGAUCCCAUUACAGAUGGUUGUGAGCCACCAUGUGGUUGCUGGGAAUUGAACUCUGGACCUCUAGCGGACCAGACAGUGCAUUUAGCCCCUGAGCCGUCUCUCCAGCCCCUAUUACUUAUUUUUAUGUGUGUGAAUAUUUUGUUGACAAGUGAACCAUAUUUAUGUAGUGCCCAAGGAGGCCAGAAGAGGGCGUUGGAUUUCCUGAAACAGGAGCUAAAGAUGAUUAGCUACCAUGCUAGGAACCAAACCAGGAUCUUCUGGAAGAACAACUAGUGCUUUUAACUGUAGAAUAAUCUCUUUAGCCCUUAAACACACACACACACACACACACACACACACACACACACACACACACACACAAACUAUAUUUUGUCAGGUGUGGUGGUGAAUACCUUUGAUUCUAGUACUCUGAAGGUAGAGGCAGAAGGGUCUCUAAAUUUGAGGACAGUCUGGUUUACAUAGUGAGUUCCAGGCCAACCAUGGCAACAUAGUGAAACCUUGUCUCAAAAAAUAAGAACAUAAACAAGCCAAUCC
rnacentral:lncRNA from 1 species